rnacentral:rRNA from 1 species
GUUUUCAUUAAUCAAGAACGAAAGUUAGGGGAUCGAAGACGAUCAGAUACCGUCGUAGUCUUAACCAUAAACGAUGCCGACCAGCGAUUAGGAGACGUUGAAUACAAAACACCACCAUAUAUAAUUCAGUACAUGGCCAGUCAAAUGGUUGUGUAUUGUUUGUGUAUGGCACCGGUGAAUGACUCCCCUAGCAGCUUGUGAGAA